rnacentral:rRNA from 1 species
GACGAACGCUGGCGGCGUGCUUAACACAUGCAAGUCGAACGGAAAGGCGCUGCUUUUGUUCCGUUCUCGUGUGGCGAGCGGGGGAGUAACACCUGUGUAACCUGUCCUUGUCUUUGGGAUAACUUCAGGGAACUCGGGCGAUUACCUCGGAGCAUCUCCUGCUGCGUGGUGGGGGUUGGAAAAUGUCGGCUGUGCUGGUUCGUCUCGCUGCUUAUCAGCUUGUUGGUCGGGUUGGGGCUUUCCACGGCUUUGACGGGUAGCCGGCAUGAGAGGGUGACCGGCCACCUUGGGACUGCGAUACGGCCCAGACUCCUACGGGAGGCAGUAGUCGGGAAUCUUGCAGAAUGGGCGGAAGCGUGAUGAAGCAGCGCCGCGUGCGGGAUGACGGCCUUCGGGUUGUAAACAGCUUUCGCCUGUGACGAAGAGUGCGUGACGGUAAUGGGUCAAGAAGCCACGGCUAACUACGUG